rnacentral:lncRNA from 1 species
AAGCAGGCUUGGAUUAGACAAGGUCUCAGCUUCCUUCCAGCCCCAAACUCUAGCAUGUUGUGACUUUAUCAUUAAAGUCAAAGGCUCAUGGAACAAGCAUGAACAUGGGAAUCAGACAAACUUGGGUUUUUAAAUCCCUCUCUGUUUCUUAUUUGCUGUGUGAAACUGGGAAAACGUUACCCUUCUGAUGGUCCAUUUCUUCACUUUAAAAUUGGAAUUCUAGCAUCCCUUCAGCAUGGUCCAGAGAUCUAAAAAUAUGUGAUGUAGGUAGUGUGGUAUAGAGUAGGUGCUCAAUAUUGAUGGUUAUGAUUAUUGGUAUUAUGAGAAAGAUGACUGUUCUUUCAGUUUGGCAGUGAGAACUGGGUAGAACUGAGCUUGGAACACAUCGUUGAAUCAGGAGGUGAUUGUUGAAAGAUCAAGAGAUCCUGGUGGUUGUGAUAUAAGCCGACUCUACUCUUGUGGUGAUCCAUGGUCAAGGCUGCAGUGGAGCUGACUUAUAACGAUGAAGCAAACAUGGACAGAGGUCAUUUGGUAUGGGAAGAAUUUCAGUCAUGUGGUAGAAGGGAAACCUGGAUGUAAGCAGCAAACUGUGGAUGUGCUAAGUAUAAGCACGAGCCAAUGCAUUGCUGUCUUCCGUGAAGGAAUUUUGUUUUUGAUCCUCCACUACUACCCCACAACAACCCUGAGGAUAUCUCCAACCUUGGAAAUGAAUGUCAUCUUUCCUUCCUCCUCCUCAUUCUUUUUUAAAGGGACAUUUUUGUUUCUUUGA